rnacentral:lncRNA from 13 species
CCCAAAUGGCACCCUAUUCCCUAUAUAGAAUAGGGUGCCAUUUGGGAUGUAACCAGGGCCUGAUGCAGACAUGCUGCAGUAGAUUGGGCUUGCACAGGGGGCAUUGAUUUACCCCCCCCCCCCCCUUAAAACACCACACUAUCCAAUUCCCACAAAUGAAAAAUAAUUAUCCUAAAUGCACCCAUGAGGCCACUUAGGAUGCAGCCAGUGAGACAACUGGAGAUUCUUCUUCUGUACUGAAUAAUUUAUAUCUUAUUCAUGUUNNNNNNNNNNUGCGUGUGUGUCUGUGUCUGUGCGUCUGUGCGUGUCUGUGCGUGCGUGCGUGCAUGCGGCGUGGGCUUGUGCGUGUGUGUGUGAUAAGUUGCUUUUUCUCAGACUUCCACUUCCUCUGUAUUUAAUUAUCCCUGGCAGAUGCAAGUGUAUCCUAUUCCCGUUCUUUGGCACUUAAAUGCUUAAUGAUUUACAUUUGUAAUCAUUUAUCCGGUCAUUUGGCUCCAGAUGGGUCAAAAAGGAGGGACGGAGGAUGGGGGGACGGAUGGACAAAGGGACGGAGGAAAGGGUAUGGCUGGAUGGACAGAGGGGCGGAUGGAGGGAGGAGGAGAGACGGGCGGAUGGAAGGACGGAAGAUGGCGGGACAAUGGAACGAGGGAGGACGGAAAAAACAGAUGAACAGAAUUAACGAAGGGUGAACGGGAAGUAAAGUAGCCCGGUUGAAGUUUAAUUUAAGUUUACUCGAGUGCAUUAUUAAUGGAAGGAGGAGGGGAAUGUAUUGUGCAGCAUUGUGAUAAAGACGAGCAGUAAUUAGAGCAAGGCCAUUUAUUCCUGCCUCCGUCUACACAUUCAUCAUCCUGGCUGAAGAAAAAAGAGAGGAUGAGAUGAGACAAAAAAAAAGAGGAGGAAAGAAGAAAAAGGAGAAAGUCAAAUCAAAUACAUUUUUAUUUGCCACGUGUCUUUACUGUGAAAUGCUUACUUACGGGCCCUUUCACAACAAUGCAGAGUUAAAAAGUAAGAACAUUAGCAAACAGAAAAUAGUAACACAGAUAACAAUAAUGAGGCUACACUGUAUAUACAAGCGGUACCGGUACUGAGGCAAUGUGCAGGGGUACGAGGUAGUUGAAGUAGAAUGUACUUGUAGAUAGGGGUAACAGUGACUAGGCAAUAAGGAUAGACAAUAGAACAGAGUAGCAGCAGCAUAUGGAUAGAGUGAAAGUAUGUGUGUGACAUCAAUAUGUGUGUGUGUGUAGUGUGUGUAGUGUGUGUGUGUGUGUAUGUGUGUGUGUGUGUGUGUGUGUGUGUGUUGAAGUGUCAGUGUAAGUAUGAGUGAGUGCAUGGGUAGAGUCAGUAUAAGAGACUCAGUGCAAAAAAGUGUAAAUGCAAUAGUAGCCAUUUGAUUAACUGUUCAGUAGUCUUAUGACUUGGGAGUAAAAGCUGUUUAGGUGCCUUUUGGUCCCAGAUUUGGCACUCCGGUAUCUCUUGCCAUGCGGUAGGAGAGUGAACAGUCUAUGGUUGGGUUGGCUCGGGUCUUUGACAAUUUUCCAGGCCUUCCUCUGACACUUCCUGGUAUACUAUAGGUCCUGGAUGGCAGAAAGGAGAAACGAGAGAGGAGAUAAAUACAUGUAUGUCUCACUAGCAGACAGUGGACAGUCACAUUCAGGCCUUUGACUUGUCUAAAUGAGAUAUUCUAAACAUAAACAAUGGAUAUAAACAGUAUUGUCAACUUUUAAAAUUCCAAUAUCUUAUUUCUUUGUGUCUAACUUUUGUAUCUAUUAGGAAGAUACUGGAUGUAGCCUGCCGUGUCUGGUUCAAAAGCGUUUCUAAAAGGGGAUUUUCUUUUCCAUUAGGGUAACGGCGUAGGGAAGAGCAGAAAAUAAGUCUGAUGGCGUGGAGGAUCAUCUAAGAGUUUCUCCCCUCUGCUCUGCUGGGAGACUGUCGCUGCCAAGGAGAAAUUACACAUCAGAGGAGAUCAUUACCAGGAAGAGGCCUGGGGAACGGAGAGAAUGAACAGAGAGAGGGAGGAAUGGAACAACGGCAUUUCUAUGCAUUCCAAAUGGCACCGUAUUCCCUCCAUAGUGCCCAUGGCCCUGGUCAAAUGUAGUGCACUAUAUAAGGAAUAGGGUGCCAUUUGGAACGUAGCCCGUGGCUCCCAAGCCCAUGCAGUAUAAAUGGAAAUCCAAUACAGUGUUUGGCUGGCACAAUGAUUUGAUCAUUAGUGAAGAGCAGGCUGUGACACCAAAUAAUAUCUUGAGAAAAUAUGAGCCAUAUUUCAGGUAAAAGUAACCAAUCCAAUUCUGGUGAGAAAUGCUUGAAAAUGCAAAGUCAUAAAAGGCGAGGUAUCUGAGAAAGAGAGGAUUAAUCAAUAAGUCAAUCUGUGAAUACAAUACAUGUGUGAAAUUAAUGAGUGAUUGAAUGAUGGUGUUUCUCAGUUCUCACAGAUCUGAGUAGAAAGGACUGGUGAUGUUUCCCAAAUGGCACCCUAUUCCCUAUAUAGAAUAGGGUGCCAUUUGGGAUGUAACCAGGGCCUGAUGCAGACAUGCUGCAGUAGAUUGGGCUUGCACAGGGGGCAUUGAUUUACCCCCCCCCCCCCCUUAAAACACCACACUAUCCAAUUCCCACAAAUGAAAAAUAAUUAUCCUAAAUGCACCCAUGAGGCCACUUAGGAUGCAGCCAGUGAGACAACUGGAGAUUCUUCUUCUGUACUGAAUAAUUUAUAUCUUAUUCAUGUUAGAAAACAUUGUUCACUUAGAUAUUCAUUUAAUAACCAUACACAAAGAAAGGGAGGCGGUAUAAGCACACUGACAGAUGCAAAAG